AAAGGAUUAAAAGCAAAAUCAAACAAAUAAGACAGCAAAAAGAAGCAAACUUCAAUUUAAGAGCUUUUGGAAAAUGAAGCACGAGCACUCAAAGGAAAAGAUAAGAACCCAUUAAAAAUUGACAACAUCAAUAGACAAUAAGAAAUAUAGGAAAGCCAAUCAAUUAAGAUUGCAGAAUAGAAUCUACCUGAAAAGCACAGAAUCAAGAACAAAAAGAUACAUCUGAUCACAAAGUUAAAAAAGCAUACCAUGGUGAGAAAG
rnacentral:misc_RNA from 1 species